GGCGCCGGGUGGCUCAGUUGGUAGAGCAGGCGUGCGAUGUGCCGAGGCUAUAGUCCUCGAUGCAGUUGUCCUUGUUUUGAUUUCUGGUCUCGCCA